rnacentral:rRNA from 1 species
GACAGAGGGUGCAAGCGUUGCUCGGAAUUACUGGGCGUAAAGCGCGUGUAGGCGGGCCCCCAAGUCGGACGUGAAAGCCCCGAGCUCAACUCGGGAACUGCAUCCGAAACUGAGGGCCUGGAGUAGUGGAGAGGGAAGCAGAAUUCCUGGUGUAGAGGUGAAAUUCGUAGAUAUCAGGAGGAACACCGGUGGCGAAGGCGGCUUCCUGGACACUUACUGACGCUGAGACGCGAAAGCGUGGGGAGCAAACAGG